rnacentral:rRNA from 1 species
GACGAACGCUGGCGGCGUGCCUAAUACAUGCAAGUCGAACGCUGAAGGAGGAGCUUGCUCUUCUGGAUGAGUUGCGAACGGGUGAGUAACGCGUAGGUAACCUGCCUGGUAGCGGGGGAUAACUAUUGGAAACGAUAGCUAAUACCGCAUAACAGUAGAUGUUGCAUGACAUUUGCUUAAAAGGUGCAAUUGCACCACUACCAGAUGGACCUGCGUUGUAUUAGCUAGUUGGUGGGGUAACGGCUCACCAAGGCGACGAUACAUAGCCGACCUGAGAGGGUGAUCGGCCACACUGGGACUGAGACACGGCCCAGACUCCUACGGGAGGCAGCAGGAGGGAAUCUUCGGCAAUGGACGGAAGUCUGACCGAGCAACGCCGCGUGAGUGAAGAAGGGUUUCGGAUCGUAAAGCUCUGUUGUAAGAGAAGAACGAGUGUGAGAGUGGAAAGUUCACACUGUGACGGUAGCUUACCAGAAAGGGACGGCUAACUACGUG